AGUCGGAUGUGAAAUCCCUGAGCUUAACUUAGGAAUUGCAUUCGAUACUGGGAAGCUAGAGUAUGGGAGAGGAUGGUAGAAUUCCAGGUGUAGCGGUGAAAUGCGUAGAGAUCUGGAGGAAUACCGAUGGCGAAGGCAGCCAUCUGGCCUAAUACUGACGCUGAGGUACGAAAGCAUGGGGAGCAAACAGGAUUAGAUACCCUGGUAGUCCAUGCCGUAAACGAUGUCUACUAGCCGUUGGGGCCUUUGAGGCUUUAGUGGCGCAGCUAACGCGAUAAGUAGACCGCCUGGGGAGUACGGUCGCAAGACUAAAACUCAAAUGAAUUGACGGGGGCCCGCACAAGCGGUGGAGCAUGUGGUUUAAUUCGAUGCAACGCGAAGAACCUUACCUGGUCUUGACAUAGUAAGAACUUUCCAGAGAUGGAUUGGUGCCUUCGGGAACUUACAUACAGGUGCUGCAUGGCUGUCGUCAGCUCGUGUCGUGAGAUGUUGGGUUAAGUCCCGCAACGAGCGCAACCCUUUUCCUUAUUUGCCAGCGGGUUAAGCCGGGAACUUUAAGGAUACUGCCAGUGACAAACUGGAGGAAGGCGGGGACGACGUCAAGUCAUCAUGGCCCUUACGACCAGGGCUACACACGUGCUACAAUGGUCGGUACAAAGGGUUGCUACCUAGCGAUAGGAUGCUAAUCUCAAAAAG
rnacentral:rRNA from 1 species